rnacentral:tRNA from 1 species
UGGUCUGUAGCUCAACGGUCAGAGCUUCUGCCUUAUACGCAGCGGGUUGUGGGUUCAAAUCCUACCAGACCAA